rnacentral:lncRNA from 10 species
GUGUCAUAUGAAAGUAGCUGUGAUUUCUAACUGGUGACCAAGUACCAGGAUUUGUUGCCAUUUAUAACCCCCUGGGUGCUAUCAGAUGUGCUGAAUGCUGGAAGAAUCAAUACUCUAAUCUUUGGUUCCAGAGAAUCUGACUCAGGUUCAUGAAAAAUCGGAACUUUCUCUGGUGCGAGCUUUGCUUAUAACUUUGGCAUAGGGGACCAGGAAAGUCUCACGGAUGCAAA